AGUAGAAGCCAGAUGAAGGCUUCUAAACAUGACACCUUCAUCUGGAUUCUGGUAACCUUAACCACUGGGCAUAACUGCCUCAUGCCUCGUCUGCCAUCAAACCCGGCCACUGUUGAGUUGAUUGCUGUACUCUUGCCUGGUCAAAGUAAGAUCUUCUGGGCCUGGUGACUGAAGACCAAUGCUGGCCUGAGACCUCCACCUCCCCCCAAGCCAUCGUAGCCACAGAGCCUAGGGUGAUCAUCUCGAUAAUGAGUAAGUCUCUGUCAUUUUAAUCAGAACAUAAGCCAUUUGGAUACUUUCUGCUACAAGCUUGUAUCUGUCUCAGCAGAUUUCCACUGAGACAGAUUUCAGAUGACAGGCACCACCCAGGAAUCAGCUGCAGACUACAGACUGAUCCAGAUGGCUUGGAGCCCUGGACUUGCCGAAAGCUGACAUGGACCAAGCCAGCUGAUUCGGAUUGCUCCCUGUCUCUCCAGCUGGGUCAGCUCACCAGAUGCUUCUAAUGAAUGCUCCAUUUCCUGAAUCUGAGGACAACAUCUUAAUUUCAGCAUGAAGUAGUUAAAGAGAGUAGAGUAUGCUACCCUGUGUCCUCAACAGGCUGUGAUGUUAGGUCAAAAGGACCUGGCACAGGGGACAAAACGGCUGCCUAUCUUGCCCACUGGCAUACCAGGAAAGGUACUUGUUGAAACCAAAUAGACUCAGAUCUAUCAACAGGCUCCUCCUGGAUAGUAACUGAUGUCAGCCAAUGCAGGGCCUUUGACCUUUCUGUUUCUACUAAUUACUGUUGCCCCUGGCAUCAUUAAUGCCUUAACUUGAUGAUAAUUCUCAUCUGGGUACCAUUAAGCUGAUGGUUAUUAGAUCCCAGUGUAAACAGGUACCUGCCACAGAGUCGAGGAUUUGACUCAGGAUACAACCCAAGGGGGAUUGACUCAGCACCAUUUUCUGGGAAUCUCAGAAUACUCGAGACCAGAGUCCACCACCUUGGCCAGUAUUUAAUUAAAGCUUGCUUCAAGUUUGGCUCAAGAUAUUGUGGUAGUGGUCUUAUUAAUAAGCCAGUGGGAUUAUUAAUACAAGGUCACAGGGUGGACUUCAGGAUGAUAAAGUAAGAAGACACCUAUUUAAGCAGCUGCUAAUCCUUAAGUGCUAUAACCUGCAGUUCCCAGGAAAAAAAGGCCACACAACUGUGUUGAAGAUUCUAAACCAGCUAUGGGGUUUGAACUUUACAACUUGGGAGAGCUGGAAAGCUGUUGAUCCAGAAUCCAGAUUAUCUUGGGCUAUCUUAAUAACCCCCACUAGCCACUGAACACCCAUGUUCUACACCUGAACUAUUAACUCACAACCAACCUAAGGGCUAACACCGUCAUCACACAGUAUCUAAAACCUGCGGCAGAGAUGUCCCCACUCUGCUGUACCCUACCUACCAUGUGAUGGGUAAAUUACUUUAAUAAUCCAUGAGCUUCUUUUGUUUUGUGUCUAUUAAAAAAUUCACAUAAUUGUUUCCAUGUUCCCAUUGCUUCCUGGGCCACUGUUGGCUGUCCCACAUUCUCUUGGAGGUGUGUCACAGUUACUUUCAGCUGUCAACAUGACACAAACUUAAGAGUCAUUGGGGAAGAGGAACCUCAACUGAAGCAUUGUCUCCAACAGACUGGCCUGUGGCCAUGGUCUCAACUGUCAGCUGAUGCUGGAGG
rnacentral:lncRNA from 1 species